ACGGGGCGCAGCAGGCGCGAAAGCUUCACACUGCAGGAAACUGUGAUGAGGGAACUCCAAGUGCAUGCACAAUGUGUAUGCUUUUCUUAACUUUUAAUCGGUUUUGGAAUAAGGGCUGGGAAAGGCCGGUGCCAGCAGCCGCGGUAAU
rnacentral:rRNA from 1 species